rnacentral:misc_RNA from 1 species
CUUCCCUUCAGCAGCAAUGAUACCCCAAAGGCAAAAACCAGGCGGCAGAGUAAAAAGGCACUGGCAAAAGAAGAAGAGUCUUUAUGAUGAGUACCUUGCUGACUCCGGGGACAGCGAAGGCACGGGAGCCGAUGAAGAGCGGGAAGAGACGUUCGAGUGCGAGCAGUACUGUGUGCAUAUGGACGUGAAUAUUCUUAUCCAGCAAACGGUGCAGAACAUCGUUCAAAGCGUAUGUCUCGAAGACCCAGAUGGCUUUGCUAUCUUUGGCGAUCAUGAGCUGAUUUGUUUUGCGGCUGCGGUGAAGCAUAACAGCUCUAUCAUGUCUCUGCAAAUACGCUACUUGGACGUUUCUGAUGUGUCGCUGAUUCCGCUUUGCAAGGCUCUCGAGCAGCACCCUAGCAUUCGGGCUUUAGAUCUUUCCGGGACUCACGGUGGAGAGGGCACUAGCAAGGCGCUGCGACAGCUGGUGUGUACGAAUCCAAACAUUAUUUUCAUGCGUCUUGAAGACACCAUUGUGAAUCCAAAGGACGCAAGUAUUAUUGAGAAAGCAACUCGGUACAACUCAAUGUCAUGUCCAGAUCCCAACAACAACCCCUUUCAUUUAGGUCUGCUACGACGAAUGAGCGCGAUGGAUGAGGAGCACAAGUUUCACGAGCAGCUUCACGCGCGCCCUUGGCUGCUCGGAAACGGGCCGUCCAAUCAGAAGAGAUUCAAAAAGACGGUUUUGAGCACAGCUGCGUCAUCUCAUAUCGGCGGCGAAAUCUGCGCUCAAUUCAUUCAAGGAAGAUGCCCUUACGGCUCGCGGUGCAAGUACAUUCACCCCGAGCGUACCGUUGCUCUGAAGAACGCCGUUGCGUCCAGCCUGUACAACCGUGCAGAGCAAAGUGGAGGCGGCGACGCUGUUUCCACGGCCUUUUCAACUACAUCGGUGUCUCGGCAAAGGUUACAGAGUCGCCUACGACCACCUGCAUUUAUGCUGAAGAAGCCGGAGCAAUGCGAGAGGGAGCAAGAGAAUUAUGAGAUAUCGAUGGAGUCUCCACCGGCGGAGGACGCUCCUUCCACCCAACCUCCGGUUUCUUCAUGGUGGGUGAUGAGUGUAACCGUCGUGUGCUGCUGCGUGAUAAUAGUUGCAGCUUUGUAAGCGAGCAGACCACUUGUCACAAGGAACAAUACU